AGGAGAUCAAGGGCGUGGAGACCAAACUUGAGAAAGCAAUUAGCAGAAUUAGAUCCAAGAAGGAUUGGAAGAUAUGUUCUCUUAAAAGAAAAGCAGUUACUCAAAGCUUAGUUGUGCAUAAAAAUAGAAGGGCAAAGGAGGCAUGGUGAAAAAGAAAAGGAGAGGAGAGAGGGAAAAGAAAGACGGGACGACAGGGAUUUUAACCAUGAUGGCAGAAGGGACUUCAACAUGCAGCGUUUUCCACACAAAUGGAAAUCCACUCGUAGAAGUGAA